rnacentral:rRNA from 1 species
GAGAUUCCCCUAGUAACGGCGAGCGAACGGGGAAGAGUCCAUCUCCUAAUCCGACGCCUCCCUGGGCGUUCCGGAAAUUUGGAGUAUAGGAGAGACGCUUCCAGGCACCGGCUCCGGUGCAAGUCCCCCUGACUGGGGCUCCCACCCCGAGAGGGUGCAAGGCCCGUAGCGGCCGGCAGUCGGUCCUGGAUGUUCUCUCCUGAGAGUCGGGUUGCUUGAGAGUGCAGCCCUAAGCAGGUGGUAAACUCCAUCUAAGACUAAAUACGACCUCGAGACCGAUAGCGAACAAGUACCGUGAGGGAAAGUUGAAAAGGACUUUGAAGAGAGAGUUCAAGAGUACGUGAAACCGUUCGGAGGUAAACGAGUGGGCCCUCGAAGGAAGGCGACGGGGGGACUCAGCCGGAGGCGCCCGGGUGGCUGUCGCGACUCGCUUCCCCAACAGGACGAGUUGUGGCGGCAAGAAAGUCCCGGGGCAGACGGCGCAUUUCCCCUCGUCCUCUGACGCUGCGACCGGUCGGGUGCGCUAUUAGCAGUCGGCCUGACUCGCGGGAACCGGCAGGUAGCCGGGGCGAGGCUUCGGCCCCGCCCCGGUGUUUAGCCGUCCCGCUUUCGCGGCCGUUCACCCGACCGCAGGACACGGCCCUCCGGGGCUCUGCCGCAUCUUCCCUGGGUGGGAGCGCCUCUUUCCGUCGGCAGGGAGGUCGCCGUCAUCGUCGGUUCACCGCAAGGUGUCCGACGGGCGGCGGCGCCCGGUGGUCGGCGGAUUAGCGUGCGGAUGCAGGCGGUCUGCAGCGAGUAGGUCGGUCACCCACUCGACCCGUCUUGAAACACGGACCAAGGAGUUUAACAUGUACGCAAGUCAUUGGGUCUUGCACAGGCCCAAAGGCGCAAUGAAAGUGAAGGUCGGCUUUCGCCGUCCGCGUUGGGAUCCGCGGCUCCGGCCGCGGCGCACCAACGGCUCGUCCAGGCCGCCACGUCGGCCGGGCGAAGCGAGAGCGUACACGUUGAGACCCGAAAGAUGGUGAACUAUGGCUGGGCAGGACGAAGCCAGAGGAAACUCUGGUGGAGGUCCGCAGCGGUUCUGACGUGCAAAUCGAUCGUCAGACCUGGCUAUAGGGGCGAAAAACUAAUCGAACCAUC